GACGAACGCUGGCGGCGUGCUUAACACAUGCAAGUCGAACGGAAAGGCCCUGCCUUUGUGGGGUGCUCGAGUGGCGAACGGGUGAGUAACACGUGAGUAACCUGCCCUUGACUUUGGGAUAACUUCAGGAAACUGGGGCUAAUACCGGAUAGGAGCUCCUGCUGCAUGGUGGGGGGGGGAAAGUUUCGGCGGUUGGGGAUGGACUCGCGGCUUAUCAGCUUGUUGGUGGGGUUGUGGCUUACCAAGGCUUUGACGGGUAGCCGGCCUGAGAGGGUGACCGGCCACAUUGGGACUGAGAUACGGCCCAGACUCCUACGGGAGGCAGCAGUGGGGAAUAUUGCACAAUGGGCGGAAGCCUGAUGCAGCAACGCCGCGUGCGGGAUGACGGCCUUCGGGUUGUAAACCGCUUUCGCCUGUGACGAAGCGUGAGUGACGGUAAUGGGUAAAGAAGCACCGGCUAACUACGUG
rnacentral:rRNA from 1 species